rnacentral:rRNA from 1 species
UACGGAGGGGGCGAGCGUUAUUCGGAAUUAUUGGGCGUAAAGGGCGCGUAGGCGGCUCGAUAAGUCAAAGGUGAAAUCCCUCGGCUCAACUGAGGAACUGCCUUUGAAACUGUCGAGCUUGAGUCCGGGAGGGGGUAGCGGAAUUCCCAGUGUAGCGGUGAAAUGCGUAGAUAUCUGGAGGAAUACCGGUGGCGAAGGCGGCAUCCUGGACCAUAACUGACGCUGAGGCGCGAAAGCUAGGGGAGCAAACGGG